GCGGGUAUCGUAUAACGGUAAUACACAUCCUUGCCAAGGAUGAGCCACGGGUCCGACUCCCGUUACCCGCUCCA
rnacentral:tRNA from 1 species